GAGGCAGAGGAUUCAGGUGACAGUGAUGCUGAACUGGACAGCGAUGGACUCAAAGGAGAGCGGGAGUUGGGAGACAAUAUGAUGGAGAAAAGAGCUGACAUGGAUUCUGAAGUGGUCCUGACACAGUCCAUGGUAGUGAAGAAGGAUGCCCUGUCCAAAAGAUACUACAGAAGUAAGUGUGUGUCUCUCUGGAGCUGGCUCCUGGUUUGGGUGAACUGCAUGGAUUGUAGACUGAAGGUCAAUUGAUUGAAGACAUUGAGAAACACUUCAG